rnacentral:lncRNA from 10 species
CCCACAGUUGUCUUUUCUUAUGAUGUCUCACAGAUUGGCCUCAUAGAAUGAGCUGGGAGCUACUUUCUCCUCCUCUACUUCCUGGAAAAGUUUGUAAAGAAUUGUUUCUCAAGGUGAUCAAUCCAGACCUCUGCCGUAUGUAACCACCUCCUGGUGACCACCUCCCUGUGGGACAGCUGGAUACAACCUACUUGACUCACCCUGAUGACUCCCACACCGCGUAUGGACUGUGCAGAUAUGUCACAAUGACCACCUCUCAGUCGCAGUGUGACUCCAUGGAGCUGGUGCUUGCUUUCUCUAAACUCAAUUAGGACUCACCUUGGGAAACCUGCCUUGGUAAUGUCCUGGACCCCAAAGCCUCUGCCCACAAGUCCCUCUCUCUUGCUCCUCACCCAGAGGUUGAGUGUGUGUUUCCUGGAUGACUGUCUUCUUCCCAUCAGUCCUGGUGAUGUGUCCUGCCCUUUUCUCUCUAGAUUUGUAAGUAAUAAACUGCUUCU